AACUAUGUUUAAAACAUUUUUCGAAAAUUUUACACACUGAGAUUAAAAAACCUAAAAACACACAUUGAGAAUAAGAAAUUACACACUGAGAUUUCAUAAAGACGCACUGAGAUUACGAAAAAUGAAAAACACACACUGAGAAUUGAAAAUUACACACUGAGAAUUGAAAAUUACACACUGAGAUUUCAAAAAGACACACUGAGAUGAAAUAAACUGAAAAACACACACUGAGAAUUUGAAAUUACACACUGAGAAUUUAGAAUUACACACUGAGAUGAAAUAAACUGAAAAACACACACUGAGAAUUUGAAAUUAAACACUGAGAAUUUAAAAUUACACACUGAGAUUUUUGCGCACUUUUUAUGCGCACAUAUCUAAUUAGCAUAC
rnacentral:lncRNA from 1 species